GCUGGGGGAAGAGGAGGCGGCUGGGGCCGGCGGCCUGGAGCCUGAGGCACUGGGCCGGCCCAGUGACGCCUCGGUCCCCAUCCCCAGAAAUACCGCUACCAAGAUGAAGACACGCCCCCUCUGGAGCACAGCCCGGCCCACCUCCCCAACCAGGUAAACGCCCCCGAGCUGGUGCACGUGGCGGAGAGGAACUUGUCCCACCUCGAGGCCGUCCACGGGGUCGUGGGCCACGCCCACCUCUCCCCCCUCAAGGUAGGAGACCCUGGCGGCCCCCUCCCCCGUGCGGCCCUCGGAGCCUCGGAGCUGCAGCAACCCCCACGGGCCGGUAGGGCAAGAGCUGUGGAGAAAGGUUGGGUCUGGGGUGGGGCAUUUGGGGCUUGGGCUCCUGCGGCCUGGGGGAGGGGGCUUUUGGGGGGGGGCUGGAAACACGUUGGUCCCACGAGGAGAAACAGGUCAGGCAAGUGGGAGUGGGUCCGGAGCCUGAGGUGCUUGUGUGUUUGUGUGUCUCUCUGAGUGUGCCUGAGUGUGUCUGAGCGCUACGUGCUGUGUGCGCAUGUUGAGACAUCUGCAUCCCCCUGGAGGCCCCCUGCACCAGGGCCCUCUUCAUUCCUUCACACCCCCAACCUCCAGUUGCUUCCUGUGUUUUCUGUGUCCAGAGCUCUGUUCCAAGCGCCUGCUGCCCUCAUUUGCUCCUGUCCCUUCCCGCCUCCUCCCCCACCUCCGCCUCUGGGCCUGCUCUCCCUGUCCCUGAGUCUCCAGCCCUUUCCAUCUGUCUGGCCUGAGACUUCACCACGUCGUCGUGGGGCCUUUUUGCCUCUUCCUCUACCCCAGUCUUUGCUCUCCUCCUGUUCUUCCUCCCCCUCCACCGCUUUUUCCUUCCUGCUGGCUGGCUGGCUGGUUCUUGAUGCUGUCUCUCUCUUCCUCCCACGCAUCUCCUUCCCCCCCUUGCUGAUCCCCAGCUCAGGCCUCUGCGGCCUGAUCAGUCUUCUCCUUGGUCAGCCAGCUCCCUAUUUCUCAGUUUCACCUUCCCUGUUCCUCUCUUCUUGGGCUCACCUCCACCCAUAUCUUCUUUCUUUCCCCCUUAUUAUUCAUCACCACCUGUUUCCCCUUUCCCCGCUUCUCUGCUCAGUGUGCUUUCCCUUCUCCAGUCCUGGGAGGCCUUGUUUCUGAAACCUUCUAUUUUCCAGUCCACUUUCCAUCUUCUUCCCCCUCAGUCUCCUUUUCUGGGACACAGGAUGUGGAGGAAUGGAGAGCACAGGCAAGCUGUGAGAUUGAGGACAACGAGGGUCAGUGGUGUGGAAGCCCCAGGAAGGGGGAGAUUGCUGAUGUUUUAUCACGAAAUGGGGAGGAAGUUUCUGAGCUAAGGGGAUGAGGAAAGGAGAGUCCCCUAAGCUUGGGAUUAGAAGUGGCAGGAGAGGUGUUGAAUGGGGGUGGGAAGAGGACAUAGGGAUGAAACUGUGGAAUCGGGGCAGUGGAUUGAGUGGGUCCAGAGAAAAGAAAGUGAGGCCCUGGAAAUGGGGAUGAUGCUCAGCAUUUGUGUGCAAUUCUGACUGCAAGGCCUGUGCAAUGCCUUUUACAAGAUGGGGCCAUUAAGUAGUUAUUGAGGAGGAAAUCAGAGAAGGGAAGUUUGAGGGGUAGUAGGUAAUAAGGUGCCAGGGAGUGUUGGGACCAGAGCUCAGGAAGCAAAUGGGAGUGGAGGGAGGGUGCUGGAGGCCACAAGUGAUGCUGGAGGACAUCUCAGGACAAGGCCUCAGUUGUAGGACAGGAGAUGUCCCAAUCUUCAGAUGGGUAGUGGGUUGAGAAGUGAAGGGGUGAUUUGGAGAUAGAAUAUUGAGGGUUUGAAUAUGGGGUAACAUUUGAUUCCCUCUCUGAGAAUCAAAUUGGGAUGGAGGGUAAGGACAGGAGCUCGAUAAAGUAUAGGGCAGGGGUCUGAAAAUGGAAGUGGAUAGAGAAUGGAGGCUGGGGUUGUAGGAUAGAAACUGAAGGGUGGGUACAGGGAUCUAGAUGGAUGGUGUUGGAUGAAUGUAACCUUGGAUGAAGGAUGGGGCAUCAGGGAGGGUCUAGGAUAGGAAUGGGGAUGAACAUGUGGAUAAGAUUUCAGCAGUCUGUGGCUGUUGGCUGGACAACAGUGUUUGCUGCGGUUGGGAGGAUGGCGGUAGUAGAUUUAUGGAUGUGAAAUCUAUGGUAGAGCCUGAAAAUGGCCGGCAGUUUCUAGAAUUGAGAAAUAGAAGUAAAAGAGGAGGGCCUCUUUGGAGGGGGAAAGUGGGAAGGAGACUAGGAGAAUCCUUUAGCCUGUUUUAGCUAAUCUGUUUAAGGAGGAAAUAGGUUGGGGACCCCGGAAGGAGGCUCUUGGCUGCCUUCCCCCAUUGCCAUAGAGACGUGGCUUUGGUUGCCCUGGCAAUUGGGGAAGCCCCUAGGACCGGCCUGAAGUUGGCCCCUCCCGGGAGUCCAGAGACCUGGCCGCCUGACGUCAAAGACCUGGGAACGCCUAACUUUAACCCUUUCCUUAAUGAAGGCGAGGGGGAGGGAGUAGAUGUGCAGGCUAGGACCCGGAUGUCUUUCACCACUCCCUGUUUCUGACGUUUCUUUGCGCUGCGUAGGGUGAGGGGCGCAGGGGAGACUAGAAGGCAGGUUACUCAGAAUGUGCUGUGCCCACGAACCUCUUCGACCUGGCCUCCUCUCGCCCCGGCUAGUGGGGGGCGAGGCCCAGGCCAGGAAAGGUGGGGCCAGCAGAGUCCUGCCGCGCUCAGGCCUCUGGUCGACCCUAGGCCACGCCCAUCUCCCCCGCCGGCUGUCCUGAC
rnacentral:lncRNA from 1 species